rnacentral:tRNA from 2 species
GCCACCGUAGCUCAACGGUAGAGCACGUCAUUCGUAAUGACGGGGUUGUGGGUUCGAUUCCCACCGGUGGCU